CAGGCGUGACUCUGUGUAGAGACGGGGUAGAAGAAAAACGGGCUGGGGAGCGUCGUGCCAGGCGAAGGUGGCGAGCAAGCACGGCCCGCUGGCAGAGCCAGCCCACCGCCCGCUUUGUGCAGCCCAUGGGCUAAGAACAGGCAUCGACGUGGCUGGAUUAAGGGCUACCUAGACGGCUGGUGAGCAGCAUUGCUGGUUGUGUCUGGGAGGGCAUAUCCAGAGGAGACUGGCAGCGAGCCUGGGCUGAGAGAGGAGCAGCCACCUUCAGCGUGGACGGCACCAUUCAAUCAGCUGAGGGCCUGGGCAGACCCUGAGAUGAAGAGAGGGAGAAUUCUUGCCCCUCUUGCAGAGCCAGGAUGCCCUUCUCCUUCUUUUUUGGAGGUCAGAAUUCCAGGUUCUCUGGUAUUUGGACUCCAGGAGCCACCGCCGAGGGCUCCCCGGCUGUCAGGCCUUUGACCUCAGACUGAAGGUUACAUCUGAAGCUUUCAAGCGCCAGCUUCCCCGGUUUGCCCACUUGCAGAUGGCCUGUCGUGGGAUUUCUCAGCCUCCAUAAUCACGUGAGCCGAUUCCCUUAAUAAAUCCCGUCAUCGAUC